GAAAUGCGAUAAGUAAUGUGAAUUGCAGAAUUCAGUGAAUCAUCGAAUCUUUGAACGCACCUUGCGCUCCUUGGUAUUCCUCGGAGCAUGCCUGUUUGAGUAUCAUGAAACUCUCAAAGAAAAUCUUUUGUUGAUUCAAUUGGUUUGCUUUGGACUUGGAGGUUUUUUUGCAGGUUGAUUUCUGCUCCUCUUAAAUAUAUUAGCUGGAUCUCAGUAUAUGCUCGGUUCCACUCGGCGUGAUAAGUAUCACUCGCUGAGGACACUGUAAAAGGUGGCCGGGAAAUACAGAUGAACCGCUUCCAACAGUCCAUUCACUUGGACAAAUAAGUUUUAAGAUCUGAUCUCAAAUCAGGUAGGACUACCCGCUGAGUUUAA
rnacentral:misc_RNA from 1 species